CUCCAAAUUCAUGUUUACUAGCCUUUUUCUAUAUACCUAGAGUAAAUCAAUAAAUUGAGAAAAUCUUACGAAAUUUUCGGUUUUAAAAUUCGUCAGAUGUGAUAACAUCUUACAACUUUAAUUUAUUCAGCCUGAAUAAUAUUUUUUAAUUUAAAUUCUUUUUUUGUUCUGAGAACAUCUAACAACUUUAAUUUAUUCAGUUUUGUUUCGACCCAUUAAGUAGUUAAGCUCUUUAAAUCGUCUCGUAAAUGUUAAAUAUUUUUCCUCUGCAUUUAAAGUCAUCUUUAUUUGUCAGCAAGACCUUUACACACAUCACUUGUCGAAUUUCUAUUGACGUUGACGUGAUUGCCUAGAAUGAUAGUAUUUACAUGUAUAGAGUCUUUCAGUACUGACAAUACAGUCUAAAUAAAUCCAAUUACUUUUAUUUCCUUUAAUUUGUAUAUUGCAAUUUUUGCAACUUCCUCAAAUAAGUCACAAAAGUACUAUUAUUAAUUUGCUUUUCAUUAGUAAUACAGAUAAUAGUAUAAAACUAAAAAGAAAUUUAACCAAAAAGUAAAAAAGUUAUAGAAAAUGGAGGAUUUAUUAGCGAAUUCUCGGGAAAAUGGCGUAUAUCAACCUUAACUAUUUGUACGGUAGUUUUUCUACCCAAAUAAAGAUAUAGUGCCUUUUUUCCCAAACAUCUCAAAAAUUGAAAAAAUCUACCCCAACUCUUCAUGCGUAAAUCAAAGUCGUCGAUAACGGAAGUUAAUCAACCGUUAGUGUGGAUUACUUAGCUGACAAAUGUGGAGCAAAAUUGACAAGGUAGCAUAUUUCUCCUUAUUACAAGGUACAACUACGUUAUUACUGACAUUUAUACCAUACCACAAAAAUCCACGAUAAACAAAUAUUACAUAUACCAUGCUCACAAUAUAAAUAAAACUUUAUUUUAAAUAAAUAAGACCACGAUGAUUACAUAUUUCACGCUAGAGAUGUCCAUAAGUUAUAUUUUUAAUUUUUU
rnacentral:sRNA from 1 species